rnacentral:misc_RNA from 1 species
GAAAUGCGAUACGUAAUGUGAAUUGCAAAUUCAGUGAAUCAUCGAGUCUUUGAACGCACAUUGCGCCCCCUGGUAUUCCGGGGGGCAUGCCUGUCCGAGCGUCAUUUCUGCCCUCAAGCACGGCUUGUGUGUUGGGCCCCGUCCUCCGAUCCCGGGGGACGGGCCCGAAAGGCAGCGGCGGCACCGCGUCCGGUCCUCGAGCGUAUGGGGCUUUGUCACCCGCUCUGUAGGCCCGGCCGGCGCUUGCCGAUCAACCCAAAUUUUUAUCCAGGUUGACCUCGGAUCAGGUAUGGAUACCCGCUGAACUUAAGC